CUAAGGAGUUAUUUACUGCAACUAAGGAGUUGUUUACUGCAUCUAAGUAAGUGUUCAUUGAAACUAAGUAAAUGUUUACUGUAUCCAAGCAAACUUUUUAUAUUCAAUUCAAUAGGAUAUGACUUUUAAAUAAACUAAAUCGAUCAUUGUAAAUAUUUACAUUUUAUCAUGAAAUAUGUAAUAGAGCUUGAAAUAGUGACCAUAGUGACCAGCUCAUCCCUACCAGUCAAUUUAUUCAACAACACUACCUGCUAAAGUAUACUCAGGAAUGCAAAAACCAUUCCAGAAAAGUUUUACACCUUGAAAUCCUCAAAGGCGAACACAUUAAAAUACUGGUGUUUAAGAUAUGAAAUGCUAUAAAAAAAAAUACUGAAAAAUUCCAACAUCUUCAUAAAAGCCCAAACCAACCCAUUUUGAAUUUAUUAUAUCCUAUAUUAAAGGCAAAGGUAUUCAUUUACAUAGAAACACAAACCAG
rnacentral:lncRNA from 1 species